rnacentral:snRNA from 1 species
AUGAAAUGCAUGCUCACUUUGGCAGCAACAAUACAGAGAAGACUACCAUGGCCCCUGCACAAAGAUGACAUGUAAAUUCAUGAAGUGUUCCACAUUAUA